AUGAUCAUGCCAAAAUAUAAAGGAGGCAUGGGCUUUCGUGAUACGCAUGCGUUUAAUAAAGCUUUUCUAGCCAAGCAGGCUUGGCGCCUUCUGGAGUCGCCGGACAGUUUGUGUGCAUGACUUCUACGUGCAAAAUACUAUCCCAAUGGGAAUUUGAUGGACACGAUUUUUGUUGUCAACAUCUCUGCGGUGUGGCGUGGUAUCGAGCAUGGUCUUGAAUUGCUUUAA
rnacentral:rRNA from 1 species